UCGUUGCCUUUCGAAAAACACGACCGUUGCACACGUGACAGAACGCUGCCGGGGAGGCGCUCGUCGCCUCCUCGGCCCCACCGGCCUCUUCCCUCUCGCCCUCCGGGCGCGUCGGUCGCUGGUCGGAAUACGGCGCGGGAUGACGCCAAGGAACACGGGAAAGCCGAGGCGCCGGCGUGCGCCGGUCGCCGAGGCCAGCGAAAGAAAAAUACGACUCUCGGCAACGGAUAUCUCGGCUCUCGCAUCGAUGAAGAACGUAGCGAAAUGCGAUACGUGGUGUGAAUUGCAGAAUCCCGUGAACCAUCGAGUCUUUGAACGCAAGUUGCGCCCGAGGGACCCUCCCGAGGGCACGCCUGCCUCAUGGGCGUUAGAAGCCCAUCCACGCUCGGCUGCCUCACGGCAAGAUGCGGACACUGGCCCUCCGAACCGCGAGGAGCGGUGGGCCCAAGUGUGCGGCCGUCGUACGUGGCCGGGAGCGGCGAGUGGUGGGCUACUGCGCACGUCACCCCGAGCCCCGUACCGACGCAGGGCCCUGUUCGACCCCCUAACGAGGAGCACGCCGCCGCGGCCCGCGCCGCGCGGCGCCUUCGGACC
rnacentral:rRNA from 1 species